GGAUUGCCCCAGUAACGGCGAGUGAAGCGGCAACAGCUCAAAUUGAAAUCUGGCCCCUUUGGGGUCCGAGUUGUAAUUUGCAGAGGGAGCUUUUGGCGUCGGUCGUGGUCUAAGUUCCUUGGAACAGGACGUCACAGAGGGUGAGAAUCCCGUACGUGGCCGCCGGCCUUCGCCUUGUAAAGCCCCUUCGACGAGUCGAGUUGUUUGGGAAUGCAGCUCUAAAUGGGAGGUAAAUUUCUUCUAAAGCUAAAUACCCGCCAGAGACCGAUAGCGCACAAGUAGAGUGAUCGAAAGAUGAAAAGCACUUUGGAAAGAGAGUGAAAAAGCACGUGAAAUUGUUGAAAGGGAAGCGCUUGCAGCCAGACGUGCCCGCGGUUGAUCAUCCAGGCUCCAGCCUGGUGCACUCCUCCGCGGGCAGGCCAGCAUCAGUUCGGGCGGUCGGAUAAAGGCCUCUAUCACGUACCACCCCUCGGGGUGGCCUUAUAGGGGAGGCGCAACACGGCCAGCCCGGACUGAGGUUCCGCGCAUCUGCUAGGAUGCUGGCGUAAUGGCGGCAAGCGGCCCGUCUUGAAACACGGACCAAGGAGUCUAACAUCUAUGCGAGUGUUUGGGUGUCAAGCCCGAGCGCGCAAUGAAAGUGAACGGAGGUGGGAACCCUCACGGGUGCACCAUCGACCGAUCCUGAUGUCUUCGGAUGGAUUUGAGUAAGAGCAUAGCUGUUGGGACCCGAAAGAUGGUGAACUAUGCCUGAAUAGGGUGAAGCCAGAGGAAACUCUGGUGGAGGCUCGCAGCGGUUCUGACGUGCAAAUCGAUCGUCAAAUUUGGGCAU
rnacentral:rRNA from 1 species